ACCCAGUCCAAGGCGUGUUCUUUCUGAAAAUGUAGGAUCUUAGUCCGAUUUAGUUGUCCGGUGUCUUUACGACCAGGGUGAAACAUGGAAAACUGCUCUGGAUGUCAGCUCUCCGUUUUUUGUUUGUUUGUUUGUUUGUUUUUGUUUUUCUCUUUCAAAUCUGCCCUGGGAGGCCGUAGGACAAGCUUCACGGGCCUUUGGUGAAGAAGACAUGAAAUUAGGCAUGUGAAAAGAUAUUGGAAGUUUACGACAGAGAGAAAAUAUAAUAUAGCUAGUGGCCGGCCAUCCAUCCGCUCAGCAAACGUUGAGGAGCAGCGGGCACCACAGGACACAACCAAACACCCAAAUCUUUGGCUCUCCCAAGUUGGCACGGCUGUUAGGAGUGCCGACGAGCAAAUAAGAAAAAGGAAAAUUAUAGAACGGCAGUUGCUGAUAAGAGCUGCGGGGAGAGAGAAAAAUUAUAAAGCUGGGGAGGGAGAUACGGAGCCCCAGGAAAGGGAGUUGCUAUUUUAAAAGGCUGUGAGAGAGCAGAGCUGAUAAGGGACUUGGGCUGUGACCUAAAGGAGCUCCUAUUCCAGUUGGGAACAGCAAGUACCAGGGUACCAGCCUGGGCAGAGCCUGGCAUACUGGGGAACAGCAGACAGGCUGGUGUGACAGGUGUGAUGAGGAAGACACGGGACCUGGACUGUCAGAAUUAGCUGGGUUAUUAGUUAUUCCAUGUGGACUGCUCUAAAGCAUUCAUGUUCUUUCUCCUUGUCGGCUCUCCACCCAGCUCUUUGUGAUACUAAGUGUGGAACCCAACGCCUUGUGUGUUCUAAACAGGCAUUCUACCACUGAGCCGCACUCCCCUCCCUCCUUUCCUCCUUAUUGUUUGCUCCUACGUUUAUUGAGCACCUACUGUUAGCCCCAAUAGCUCUGGAGAUGAAGUGCUGACAAAAAUAGGUAUAGUUUCUACAUGCACAAAGCUUGUAGUCCCCGGGACGGAGGCGUACGUUAAACGAGAAAUGAUUUAAUUAUAAUGGCAAUAAGUACUGUGGAGGAGAUGAACAGAGGUUAAACUGGACCAAACGUAGUCUUAGGGGUGGGGCUGGGAAAUUUUCCGUGAGGAAGUAACGUUUAAACUGUGACCUGUGGGAGAAAUUGAAUUUAGUUUGCUGAAGAGUGUGUGUGUGUGUGUGUGUGUGUGUGUGAGAGAGAGAGAGAGAGAGAGAGAGGGGGGAAGGAGGGAAGGAAGGAAGGAAGGAUAUGGAAAGAAUCCCUUUUGUGUAGAGGUCAACGAUCAACAGUUCACAGCAGAACAUAUUCUGUUGACAAGAUGUAUUAGGCUUGUGUGUAGUUUGUUUUUGUUUUGUUUUCUUUUCUGAGACAGGGUUUCUCUGUGUAGCCCUGGCUGCCCUGCAACUCACUUUGUAGACCAGGCUGGCCUCGAACUCAGAAAUCUGCCUGCCUCUGCCUCCCGAGUGCUGGGAUUAAAGGCGUGUGCCACCACACCCAGCUCAAUUUUUUAAAAUAUGCUUUUAUGUGCAUUGGUGUUUUGCUUUCAUGCAUGUUUGCAUGAGAAAGUCAAAGCCCCUGGAGCUGGAGCCAUAAACAGUUGUAAGAUCUGCUUUGUGGGUGCUAGGAAUUGAACCAGAGUCCUUCAGAAGUAUGGGGAGUGCUCUUAAAAACUUAGCUCUCAGAUCCUUUACUUAUAUGGUUGCUGGGUCUUUUCCAUGUGUCUGUGUUCCUUACCUUUGAGUGGGGGUGCAGCUGCCUCUCCUGGGGCAGUUUUAUCAAGACGGUGGGAAUGGGAACUGGUGAGAUGGCUCCUCAGUUAAGAGCACUGACUGCUCUUCCGGAGGUCAUGGGUUCAAGUCCCAGCAACCACAUGGUGGCUCACAACCAUCCACAACGAGAAGCAAGCAAGCAGGGCUGGAGCAAGAGGGAGAAGGGGGGGAAGAUGGUGGGAAUGAAGACCAGAGUUGUAGGAAGCGCUCAGGUCACAGGCUACUAUGGUGGCUGUGGCCACGCAGUGGUAUUAAUACCAUUCCCUGUCUCUCCUCCCAGCAGCAUGUCAUGGUUUAGUGGCCUCCUGGUUCCCAAAGUGGAUGAACGGAAAACAGCUUGGGGGGAACGCAAUGGGCAGAAGCGCCCACGCCACGCGAAUCGAGCCAGUGGCUUCUGCGCACCUCGCUACAUGAGCUGCCUCAAGAAUGCGGAGCCACCCAGCCCCACUCCUGCAGCUCACACUCGGUGCCCCUGGCAGGAUGAAGCCUUCAUCAGGAGGGCGGGCCCGGGCAGGGGUGUGGAGCUGGGGCUGCGGUCAGUGGCCUUGGGGUUUGACGACACUGAGGUGACCACACCGAUGGGCACAGCUGAAGUGGCACCGGAUACAUCGCCUCGGAGCGGUCCGUCCUGCUGGCACCGGCUUGUGCAGGUGUUCCAGUCUAAGCAGUUCCGCUCUGCCAAGCUGGAGCGGCUGUACCAGCGGUACUUCUUCCAGAUGAACCAGAGCAGCCUCACGCUGCUCAUGGCGGUGCUGGUGCUGCUCAUGGCUGUACUGUUGACUUUCCACGCUGCGCCUGCCCAGCCUCAGCCUGCUUACGUGGCCCUGCUGACCUGUGCCUCUGUCCUUUUUGUGGUACUCAUGGUGGUGUGUAACCGACACAGCUUCCGCCAGGACUCCAUGUGGGUGGUGAGCUAUGUGGUCCUGGGCAUCCUAGCAGCCGUGCAAGUCGGGGGUGCCCUGGCAGCCAAUCCACACAGCCCCUCGGCGGGCCUUUGGUGCCCCGUGUUCUUCGUCUACAUCACCUACACUCUUCUUCCCAUUCGCAUGCGAGCCGCAGUACUCAGCGGCCUGGGCCUCUCUACUCUGCAUUUGAUUUUGGCCUGGCAGCUCAACAGCAGCGACCCCUUCCUUUGGAAGCAGCUCGGUGCUAACGUGGUGCUCUUCCUCUGCACCAAUGCCAUCGGUGUCUGCACACACUACCCUGCUGAAGUGUCUCAGCGCCAAGCCUUUCAGGAGACCCGAGGUUACAUCCAGGCGCGGCUGCACCUGCAGCAUGAGAACCGUCAGCAGGAACGGCUGCUGCUAUCGGUGUUGCCCCAGCACGUUGCCAUGGAGAUGAAAGAAGACAUCAACACAAAAAAAGAGGACAUGAUGUUCCAUAAGAUCUACAUCCAGAAGCAUGAUAAUGUCAGCAUCCUGUUUGCGGACAUUGAGGGCUUCACCAGCCUGGCCUCCCAGUGCACUGCACAGGAACUGGUCAUGACCUUGAAUGAGCUCUUUGCCCGGUUUGACAAGCUGGCUGCGGAGAAUCACUGUCUGAGGAUCAAGAUCUUAGGAGACUGUUACUACUGCGUGUCAGGGCUGCCCGAGGCCCGGGCAGAUCACGCCCACUGCUGUGUGGAGAUGGGGGUAGACAUGAUCGAAGCCAUCUCGCUGGUGCGUGAGGUAACAGGUGUGAACGUGAACAUGCGUGUGGGCAUCCACAGCGGACGUGUGCAUUGCGGCGUCCUUGGCCUACGGAAAUGGCAGUUUGAUGUCUGGUCAAACGAUGUGACCCUGGCUAACCACAUGGAGGCCGGGGGCCGGGCCGGCCGCAUCCACAUCACUCGGGCUACACUGCAGUACUUGAACGGGGACUAUGAGGUGGAGCCAGGCCGUGGUGGUGAACGCAAUGCGUACCUCAAGGAGCAGUGCAUUGAGACCUUCCUCAUACUUGGCGCCAGCCAAAAACGGAAAGAGGAGAAAGCCAUGCUGGCCAAGCUUCAGCGGACACGGGCCAACUCCAUGGAAGGACUGAUGCCCCGCUGGGUUCCUGACCGUGCCUUCUCCCGGACCAAGGACUCUAAGGCAUUCCGCCAGAUGGGCAUUGAUGAUUCUAGCAAAGACAACCGGGGUGCCCAAGAUGCUCUGAACCCUGAAGAUGAGGUGGAUGAGUUCCUGGGCCGAGCCAUCGAUGCCCGAAGCAUCGACCAACUGCGUAAGGACCAUGUGCGCCGGUUCCUGCUCACCUUCCAGAGAGAGGAUCUUGAGAAGAAGUAUUCACGGAAAGUAGAUCCUCGCUUCGGAGCCUACGUCGCCUGUGCCCUCCUGGUUUUUUGCUUCAUCUGUUUUAUCCAGCUCCUUGUGUUCCCAUACUCCACCCUGAUACUCGGGAUUUAUGCCGCUAUCUUCCUGCUGUUGCUGGUCACUGUGCUGAUCUGUGCCGUGUGCUCCUGCGGUUCUUUCUUCCCCAAGGCCCUGCAACGCCUGUCCCGCAAUAUUGUCCGCUCACGGGUGCACAGCACCGCGGUUGGAAUCUUCUCGGUUCUGCUUGUGUUCAUCUCUGCCAUCGCCAACAUGUUUACCUGUAAUCACACCCCAAUAAGGACCUGCGCGGCCCGGAUGCUGAACUUAACACCAGCGGAUGUCACCGCCUGCCACCUACAACAGCUCAAUUACUCUCUGGGACUGGAUGCUCCCCUGUUACUUCGUCGGGAACGUGCUGCUGAGUCUUCUAGCCAGCUCUGUCUUCCUACACAUCAGCAGCAUCGGCAAGCUGGCCAUGACCUUCAUCUUGGGGUUCACCUACUUGGUGCUGCUUUUGCUGGGUCCCCCGGCCGCCAUCUUUGACAACUAUGAUCUACUGCUUGGCGUCCAUGGCUUGGCUUCCUCCAAUGAGACCUUUGAUGGGCUGGACUGCCCAGCUGUGGGGAGGGUAGCGCUCAAAUAUAUGACCCCCGUGAUUCUGCUGGUGUUUGCCCUGGCACUGUAUCUGCAUGCACAACAGGUGGAAUCGACUGCCCGCCUGGACUUCCUGUGGAAGUUACAGGCAACAGGGGAGAAGGAGGAGAUGGAGGAGCUACAGGCAUACAACCGGAGGUUGCUGCAUAACAUUCUUCCCAAGGACGUGGCCGCCCACUUCCUGGCCCGGGAACGCCGCAACGAUGAGCUGUACUACCAGUCGUGUGAAUGUGUGGCUGUCAUGUUUGCCUCCAUCGCCAAUUUCUCGGAGUUCUACGUGGAGCUCGAGGCAAACAACGAGGGCGUGGAGUGCCUGCGGCUGCUCAAUGAGAUCAUCGCAGACUUUGACGAGAUCAUCAGUGAGGAGAGAUUCCGGCAGUUGGAGAAGAUCAAGACCAUCGGUAGCACCUACAUGGCCGCCUCUGGGCUAAAUGCCAGCACCUAUGACCAGGUCGGCCGCUCACACAUCACGGCGCUGGCUGACUAUGCCAUGCGGCUCAUGGAGCAGAUGAAACACAUCAAUGAACACUCUUUCAACAAUUUCCAGAUGAAGAUCGGGUUGAACAUGGGUCCGGUUGUAGCAGGCGUCAUUGGGGCCCGAAAGCCACAGUAUGACAUCUGGGGAAAUACCGUGAAUGUUUCCAGUCGUAUGGACAGCACUGGAGUUCCUGACCGAAUACAGGUGACUACGGACCUAUACCAGGUUCUAGCUGCCAAGGGCUACCAGCUGGAGUGUCGAGGGGUGGUCAAGGUGAAGGGAAAGGGGGAGAUGACCACCUACUUCCUCAACGGGGGCCCCAGCAGUUAGCAGAGUGCAGCAGCUGAGAUUCAACCGAAGGGACCAAGGUGGGCAUUGAGUGGGACUUUGUGCUCGCUGGGUGGAGCUGUGACAGGGGGGCACUGAGCCUCCGGAUCUUGCUGACAGCAAAAGGGAACACCCCAGCGGCUGCGCUUGGACUGUGUUCGUCUGCCUUCAGAAUGGCGAUGGAGGGGACGCCGAGAGGAUUAUCCGAGGGACUUUCUUAAUUGGAGUAAGGCUGGUCUUCGUUUGUUUGGAUGCAGAUGAGAAAGCGCAGAGGCCUGGGAGCCUCCUGUUUGAGAGUUAAAUGGCAACUCUCUAUGCCUACUGUUUCCCUGUCUGGGCAACAGGCUCAGGGCUGGGUCCUUUCUUUCCCUAUUUUUCCUGGGACUACUUUUUGUACAAAGACUGUGGCAGGCAUGAAGAACACUUGCCUUUGCUUGCCUGUGUCUGCAGCACGGGUCUUGGGCACUCUCAGAACCAGCCAAUUCUCCUUCUUAGGCACAAGGCAGAAGAAGGAGGUUCUAUGGGACCUAGCUCUGACUGACCAUAUUUCAGGGGAAUGUUUCCAUUUGCCAAAUCCUAGUCCCGUGAUCUGUCCCCAAAGGGGAACAAAGGGACCUCUGACAGUGAAGAUUUAGCCCCAGUUCCUGCAUGAUCCUGGGAAAGGGGCAUCUGGCUUUACUGGUACUGUGAAAAUGACCAGCCAGAGAGCAAGCCUGUGUGUGUGAGGUCAUCCGAAGAACAGGAACUGGAUGGUGGAUGGUGACCUGCAGGUGCCAAAGAAUGCAGCAGGCAGCCAGGGAGGAGGAGGAGGAGAAGGAGGAGGAGGAGGAGGAGGAGGAGGCCGCCACACUGACCUGAGGUCUCAGUGUGCUCGAAUGCUCACUUGCUGCCUGCUGGCAGGGGCCAUGGAACAUCUCUAUCCCUUGUAUUGCCAAAUAGCAAAAGGGUCAGGGUUCCAAAAAAGAUGACCUGACCCCAAACCUGGCCUCCUAAGUCUGGCACUAGGGAGGUCCUGUGUGUUUGUGUAAUUGUGUGGGCCUGUGUGUUGUGUGUGUAUGUGUGUCUGUCUGUCUGUCUGUCUGUCUUUGAGGUCUCCAUGUGUCCUCAUGCUCCAGUUCCUCAGCUCUUCACCGGGGACUGCCUCUCUCCCGUGGGCCUCUGUCUUCUGGCGUUAAGGCCAAGUUUCCUGUGCCAAGGGAUGGAGAGUAAUACCCAGGUUGCACAGGAGGUUGGGUGGUGUUUGGUAGUAAAAUGAUAACGGUCUGGGGAGAGGAGUCCUUUUUUGUGCCAAAUCCCUAAGUGCCAUUUGGGGGCCACAUAUCUGCACUAUGACUGUCCCCCUGCCUAGGGCAGGGACCCAAGCACCUGCUUAAUCUCUAGUGUUCCUUGGAACUUGAACUGUUGGAGGUUUGUGGGUAGAGGUGCAGGCAUUUCCUGGGUUCCUGGGCUUGUCUCUUGGGGGCAUGGUGUGCUUUCUGACUGGGGUAGUGUGGGAUCCCUCUCUGAGGACCCCGAUGUUGGUACUAGGGGAUGGGAACCUAGGAACUUGGAACUGGGCUGCCCCAAGCCUUCGGCCUGAAUCUACCAUGGCUAGACUCUAGCCCCGGCUCCCAAUCUUCACGAAGCCUGCAAGGGUUGUACUCUGUCCUCGCCUGCCCUUGCCUGCCUCUGACCCUUGCAGCCUCCCUGACUCUGGUCUGAGUUAGCUGGUGCCUUGGUUUCUCUGUCUGCAUCUAGUUAAGCCAGAGGCAUUACGCCUCCAUGUCGACUGAUGAUCUUAGACGUGGGCAGGAAAGGCAGAGGAGAGUUUCAGGAGGUGCGGAAGGGGCAGGCUGUACUUUGGCCCUUCCUCAAGCUUCUGCCACCCAUUCUCUGCAGAGGCCUGGGUUCUGGUUUGGUACUGCUUUCCUGGAAAUCUCCAUGUACCAAUCGGUGGACCACUGGGCGCUUGAUUAGCCAAGGCAGAGGAGAGGAAGAUCAGCUGGUCCAGGCAGAAAAUUUCCUCUGUCUCCCCGAGCCAUAUCCUAGCCUUGGAUAGGAAGGGACUACUAGACGCCAUUGGGGCAGGUGUGAGGUAUAUAAGCCAAAGCAGGGAGACCUUGGCUUUGGGUCUGCUUCUUGCCAGGUGGGAGGGGCUUGUCCACACCCUGGCUCCCCGUACCACAGUGCCAGCCAGUCAUGUCCCUCUCUGAGUUACCGUAGCCACUCUCCUCACCAUUUGGGGAGGAAGUCAGGGCACGGGAGGCAAUGGGCUCUGGUUUUAUAAUGUAACCACUGUCGGAGUGGGGGAGGGUGACGUACCAUGUAUUUCAGUGAAAUAUUUAAUAUAUUUAAAUAUCAAUAAAAUCAAACUCUUUGUAUAAAAAAAAAAAAAAGAAAAGCCCUGUUCUCUGCAGCUGUUUGGGUGCAGGGUUGGGGGUCAGAAAGUGACAAACCCUGGUAAAGCAAGCAAGCUCCUCUCCCAGGAGUCUCUGGGCCUCUCUCAUCUGUGAUCUAACAGCUUCCUGUGGUUUUGUGCCUGUCAGGAUAAAGCUGCAGCCUCCUCAGACAGCAUGACUGCUCUAGGCCUUUCAGCAUCCUGAGGGCAAAUGUCUCACCCCAGGUGUUUGCUCUGACCCCUGCCGUGCAUUAGGUCUAGACCUCUGGUGUUGCCAUUAUAGCCCUUCACUUCUCUCACACCAAGAUCUAGCUUCAUGAGGAAUCUCACACAGGACUCAUGGCCUUGGGAUAACUCCCUUGCCUCCUCACACCCAGGAUGCAAAAGUGCCUUUUAGUUCAAUUUGUUUAUUCUGCACUCUUCCCCCCUCUCCCCACUUCUUUCAUGGCUUGGCCAUCUUCACCCCCUCCUCGCCCUCCCUUCCAGUUUUCAUCUGUCCUGCAAGCAUGCGCUCCUCAGUAAAGACUGAAGGUUUUGUCAUUGAGAUGAGAAUGGUCCACAAAUCUGAAAAAGAGAGAAACUGUCUCAGAUUGAGCCACGCCAGGAUAAAGGGAAAGGGAUAUACAAGAUCUUUGUGACUGCCGGGUGUGGUGGCACACACAUUUAAUCCCAGUACUUGGGAGGCAGAGGCAGGCAGAUUUCUGAGUUCGAGGCCAGCCUGGUCUACAGAGUGAGUUCCAGGACAGCCAGGGUUACCCUGUCUCAGAAAAGAACAAAAACAAAAACCAAAAAAAGACCUUUGUGACUGCCUCUGGGCAUGUGGGCACGCAUGAUGGAGAGGGACUACUGUCAAUGGAUGCUGGUUGGGGUGGAAACACCCUCAGGACCCCGCAGGAAUGCUAGAGACAUCGAUUCUGUGCCUAUUCAAAGUGUCACCCAUAAAGCAAAGCAGACAGAUCCAGCUACACCAUGUAGAGACCACACUGCCCCAGGGUCUGAGGCCCACUUUCCUUGAUAAGGCUCAAACCUCUUCUAUACUCUGACAUCCACACACACACACUUUUUUGAGCUCUGGCUCUCCUGGAACUCUGUAAACCAGACUGGCUCUGAACUCACAGACCACAGAGAUCCACUUGCUUUUGCCUCCCCAAUGCUGGAACUAAAGGUGCUUGACACUUAAAUGGAGCUGAAACAGACUCCGGGUUCACUGUGGGGAGAGAGUUUUUGCUGAUCUCCCACCCUGACCCUCCUCAGCAUCAGAUGAUGCCAAGACCUCACCUGGUCAUUGGGCUUUUAAUGAGACAAUGGUGUGGAGUCUUGAUCCAAGGAAUGGCUUUCUCUGGACGCACGCCUGGGAUGUUGGACCGCCAGAAGCUGAAGUUCUGAGCAUCAGUCACAGGGACUCUGAAGACCUGAUUGGGGACUUUUGGGAAGAAAGGCAGGUGUUCAUUUCCUCCAGAGUCUUUUGUUUUUCUGUCUUGGGAUCAAAAGCACGGUCCAGGAAGUUGUUGUAACCAGGUAUGGAAGGUGACCAGGUGCGGAAGGCUCCUGGGUAUGUGGUUGACACACCCUAGGUCACUUCUGGGUUCCACCAUCUCACACCCUUCAUGGUCACAUGGUUUAGUCUUGGAUUUUCCUGGUACUAAGUAAGCCCAUCUCUAAGACUUGUGGGAAAACAGGUGGAAACCCACUUGGGAAGUGUACAAAAUGGAGUAUUGAUUCAAUAUAUUUUUUAUUAUAUUAAAAAAAAAUUUUUUUUACUUAUUCACUUUACAUCCCGGUCACUGCCCUUCUCCAGUCACUUUGCUCCACAGUCCUCCCCCCAUCUCUCUUCUCUGUCUCCUCUGAGCGGUGGGACCCCCUAGGUGUCCCCCCAGCCCCCAGCCCGUCAAGUCUCUAUCUUCUCCCUCAAUAUCUUUUCUCAAUCGCCCUCACUCACUGUUCCCCUUCUGUCUGAAGUAACGCGUAAUCUGCUCAUUCUGAGGAGUUCCCUGAAACGGAAAAAAAAAUGACCCCACCCACUUUGAGAAACCACGUGCAGAUGCUAUCGUCAAGCACCUGCUGCUCAAAAUAUUAUAUAAGGUACUUGUGUGUGUGAAAGUGUACCUACAUACAGGCUUGUGUAUAUUCAGGUAUACACGGAAGCCAAAGGUUCCCGAGGAGCCGUCAAGAAAAGUCUGUCACUAGGACCAGGGGCUCCAUGAUUAGGCCAAGUUGGUUGCAGAGUCAACCAGCGUCAGAGAUACACCUGUCCCCUCUGCGGCUCUAGAGUUAUGAGUGUGUACUUCCAAGCCCAAGGAUCAAGCUCAGGUCCUUCUGCUUGCAGUGUAAGCACCUUACUGACUAAGGUGUGUGUGUGUGUGUGUGUGUGUGUGUGUGUGUGUGUGUGUGCGCGCGCGCACGUGUGCAUGUGCGUGCUUGCGUGUGCAUGUGCACAUGCUCUCAUUCCUGUGUGCGUGUGUGUGGAAGCCAGAGGUUUAAUGUUGACUGCCUUCCUCUAUUGCUUUGGUUUUCAUAAUCUCAUGUUGUCAAUUAAUAUAUUUUUGUUGUUUGAGACAGGGUCCCCUUUGCAUGUCCCUGGCUGUCCUGGAACUUACUAUGUAGACCAGGCUGGCCUCAAACUCAUAGGGAGUUUUGCCUCUGCUUCCCAAGUGCCAGGAGAUUAAAGGGUGGGCCACUGGGCCUUGCAAAAUUUCAUAUUUUAAAGAUCAAAUUAUGGUCUAAUAUUUUCUGGUUUUCUCUGUAAUCUUGAGAAUUUUUUAAAAUUCUUAAUCCUUUGACUAAAUGUUACAUUUUACCUAGCUGUUUUCCCAUUAAUUAAUAAGCUUUAAUUUUUUUUUCUGUUAGAAAUAAAUUAAAUGCCCUCUUUCUUAUA